CCUACGGGAGGCAGCAGUGAGGAAUAUUGGACAAUGGGCGCAAGCCUGAUCCAGCCAUGCCGCGUGCAGGAAGAAGCAUCUAUGGUGUGUAAACUGCUUUUGUACAGGAAGAAACACUCCCUCGUGAGGGAGCUUGACGGUACUGUAAGAAUAAGGACCGGCUAACUCCGUGCCAGCAGCCGCGGUAAUACGGAGGGUCCGAGCGUUAUCCGGAAUCAUUGGGUUUAAAGGGUCCGUAGGCGGUUUAAUAAGUCAGUGGUGAAAUCUGGUCGCUCAACGAUCAAACGGCCAUUGAUACUGUUAGACUUGAAUUAUAAGGAAGUAACGUAGAAUAUGUAGUGUAGCGGUGAAAUGCUUAGAUAUUACAUGGAAUACCAAUUGCGAAGGCAGGUUACUACUUAUGGAUUGACGCUGAUGGACGAAAGCGUGGGGAGCGAACAGGAUUAGAUACCCUGGUAGUCCACGCCGUAAACGAUGGAUACUAGCUGUUCGGAGCAAUCUGAGUGGCUAAGCGAAGGUGAUAAGUAUCCCACCUGGGGAUACGUUCGCAAGAAUGAAACCUUAAAGAUAGUAGCGNGNGAGAGCGACGAGACGACGAGGAGGAGG
rnacentral:rRNA from 1 species